rnacentral:rRNA from 1 species
UACAGAGGUCCCGAGCGUUGUUCGGAUUCAUUGGGCGUAAAGGGUGCGUAGGCGGUCUUCUAAGUUUGAUGUGAAAUCCCGGGGCUCAACCCUGGAAUGGCAUUGAAUACUGGAGGACUAGAGUACCGGAGAGGAAACUGGAAUUUACGGUGUAGCAGUGAAAUGCGUAGAUAUCAGGAAGAACACCCGUGGCGAAGGCGGCUCUCUGGACAGUUCCUGACACUGAGACACGAAGGCCAGGGGAGCAAACGGG